rnacentral:rRNA from 1 species
UGUGCAGGCGGUCCGCAAAGUCUGAUGUGAAACGCCCCGGGCUCAACCUGGGAACUGCAUUGGAAACUAACGGGCUUGAGUGUGGCGGAGGGGGGUGGAAUUCCACGUGUAGCAGUGAAAUGCGUAGAGAUGUGGAGGAACACCGAUGGCGAAGGCAGCCCCCUGGGCUAACACUGACGCUCAGGCACGAAAGCGUGGGAGCAAACA